rnacentral:piRNA from 1 species
UNGUUGCCACCAAGGAGCUGCUGAGGCCAC